GUUUAACGUCCACUUUCCAUGCUAGCAUGGGUUGGAUGAUUUUGACUAAGGGCUGGCGAACGAGAUGGCUGCACCAGGCUCCAGUCUUGAUUUGGCAGAGUUUCUACAGCUGGAUGCCCUUCCUAAUGCCAACCACUUUGAGAGGCUCAAAUUUCGAUCAUGUGACCACAAUAGCACCAACUAUAAGCAGUGUGACAUUAAUAAAGAUAUAUUAUGGCAAAAGUCCCCCCCCCCGCUAUAUAUAUAUAUAUAUAUAUAUAUACACAUAAUUAUUUGAACCAUUUUCUAUUUCCCUCCUUCAUAUGGCCCUUUAUGUUUAGAGUUCCAAUCUCCCUAAAAUCAUUUUUGCUUUUACUCUUCCAUGGCUGAUAAAAUAAAGUACCAGUCAUGUACUGAAGUUGAUAUAACCAACUGUACCCUCCUCCAAAGUUGAGGACUUGUGCCUAUAAUUGGGAGUAGAAAGGAAAUGUCAAACAUUGUCUUUGGUUUUAAAAUUAAUAUUUUUAUCAUAGGGUUUAAUUUUGAAUCUGGUUUAUUGUUAUCCAGUUCAUUAUUUAAUUUUAAAUCCAACUUUCUUAAUCAUAGUUGGAUAAUCAUAGCUAAAAUUAAUAUUUUAGCACUUUAUUUUUAUCAUCAUAUUUAUUUAUUAUAAUUAAAUUACUCUAAAAUUUAUAUUUUUUAUAACCAGCUUUUCUCAUAAAGGAUAUAUUGAACAGGAGAAAACAACCAAUUUUUCUGUAGCCAUUUAUUCACAAAUAAAUGUUUUAAUGGCCUCCAAUCAAUAGUGUUUUUAAUUGAAGUAACGAUGAAUCAAUGUGCCACAUCUAUUAAUUAAUUAACAUAACAUUAAGAUAUUCUGUUUAUCAAAUUUUUCUUUAAGAGUUGAACUUAUGGCUUUAUCGUGAGCUUUAUUCCUCUUUUAAUUAGAUAAAAAAAAUUUUUGGUUUUGUUAGCGUUACACUUAAAACCAGCUUUUGUACUGGAGGAAUAUAAGAUUGAAUUUCAUCUUCCUACCCACAGUUUCUAAAAUACCAAAAUUAACAAACAACUGUUUCUGUAGCAUCAAAGACAAGAGGUGGAAAAAUCUCUCUCUUUUGAUGAUAAGUCCUCAGUUUAUUAUAUCACAUGUGACUUUCCCAAGUAUUCUGGUAUUUAUUUCUUACAUAUUGGUGAACUGAGGCAAGCAUAAUAAAUUAUUGUGCUGAGAGACAAGUUUCCCCCCAGCAGACUACAACUUUCUGACCAAAAGCUAAUUGCUGAGCUCAGGUAUUGAGCCAAAUUGACUGUAAAGUAUUCUUUUAUAUAUUUCAGCCUUGAGGCUGGCCAUGCAAAAACCGUUUUUUUCCAACCCUUUCCUUAAUACAUUGAUUUCACAUUCUUUAUUAUAAAGAAGUGCUUGAAAAAUUCACUCAGCUAUUUGUAUUUUUAUAUUUGUGAAAAAGUGGGUAGUCAAGUAGGAGGAAUGCUAUAUUGGUAAUCUAAAUGCUGUGUUUAGUUACAUUCUGAGUUCAAAUCUCACCAGCUUAAGUUCUGACUUUCAACUCUCUGAGCUUGAUUUAAAAAAAAAAAAAAAGUACCAGUCAUAGACAAGACUGCUUUCAAUUAUAUCUCUUUUCUGCAAAUUAGUGGAUAUAUAAAAAAAGGGUGCUGAAAAGUUCCUGGCUUUGGAUAAAAUAAGGGUGGAUCAGUUAAUUAUGAUUUUAUUCAACAUAUUCACAUACUUAUUGGAGUGGUCUUUCAGUUUUUCUAAGCUCUGUAAAAAGAAUUCAGGAAGUUCGACCUUCAACCAGGCCUUUCAUUAUACCCUUAAAGCCAGCAACUUUUCUCCAACCCUUUGUAAAAAAGCAUUACAGUAAUGUUAAUAUUAUCCAAAAGGAAUCUAUAUUUAAAGCACAAAAUUCAUUGUAUGCAUUUGAUUCCAGCCCAAAUCAGUUACCUGAAACGUUAUAAAUUGUGGCUACACCAGGCAUAAAUGUAUAAUAAUGCAAAUUUGUUGAUCAUUCCAAAAGAAAUUGUAUAUCUGUGACUGAAUUUUUAUCAUGACAUGUACAGUCCGUAUUGUAUGUCAUUGAUUUAUGUUCCAACACAGAACUGUAUUCCAAUAACCUCAAUUUUAUAAACCAAAAAUAGAUAGAAUUCACACAUUACAAUACAUUUCCUCCAAUUCAAAGCUCAAAAUUUUAACUUGUAUGAACCAUUGAUCCAGGUUGCUAUUAGAAAAUGGAUGUUUUCUUCUAUAGCGAGGUCCAUGAAACUAGUCUCUCAUGAUCUCUGUUAGGUCUCUAUGUCAGUGAGUUUGGCAUUGUAUAGUAGCUUUCCCUAAGACCCACUGCUCCUAAAGAUUAUCAAAUAAAAUUGAUUUUUUUUUACAGAACAAAAAGUAGGCCAAGUACCUACAACACCUGGAACCUGUCUAUGAAAUAUUACUCACACCUAGAAUGGUCUAACAAACUCAUUAAAUCAUUUGCAUAA